ensembl:lncRNA
UGCGUUUGCUCUGGGGUGGAUGUAAGCCAGGAUGAUAAAAAGUUGAGGAAACUCUCUGGGGAGGUAAAAGGGUCGUAGGGAGACAGCCAGGAGCUCGAUGUCAGGGGUGCACAGUUUCUCUCUCACUACAACUGUGGAGCACCAGCGGGUGUUUACAUAGAGACACACACCGCCACCAUGUUGUUUACCGGUGCGCUCACUGUCCCGGUCGAGUCUGAGAGGGGUUACCUUUUUUUGAUUGUGUGCGCUGGAUGAAUUCUUGCGGAUUAUUUCAUCGGGAAAAGUAUCCGUGGUGCAGGAUAAACACAAUCAUCAUUUUUCAGGAUAACUACAGAAAUCAUCAUUUUUCAGAUUAUGGCGUUUGUGAGGGCUGUGUGGCAGGAGGGCGAUAAAGUUUUUGAAGGGGUGCUGCCAAUAAAUUGGAUUGACGAAGAAAGGAAAGUCCUCAGAUGGCCAAAAAAGGGACGGGCGUCGGCCUGGAAAAACAAAACGAAUCCAGCUGGAGACUGGCUGGACUUUCCCCUCAUAAAAAUAAAAUUUACUUCAGAAAGUGAAAAGGAGUGCACUGAGUUUAAUUAUACAUCGUCAGCACAGACAGAUUCAGAAGACCCUCCAGAACUGGGGAAAAGGGCAAUAAAAAGAAAGCAAUUUUCUGAUUGUAUUGAAGAACCAGAACUAUCAGAUGAAGAACCCAGACCCAAAAAAAGCAAAAGCACAGGACUGCUCAGCAAGCCACCAAAGCCACCAAAUAUGACUAAUGAGACACCCAGUGUCAGAAACCAGGACCAGACCUCUUUGGAUAAUACCCCAACUCUAGAUUCAUCAUAUACCCACCCCCAGAGGAGCCCCUCCCCCUCCAAUCAUUCUGAUGUUGGGGGUGAGUCCUGGCAGGAUAGCUCACCUUCAUCUCCAAGGAACCAGUCCAUAAGGAGCCCCUCUCCCUCAUCCAGUCAUUUUGGGAACCACAGAGGAGGCUCCCAUUCUGGUGGUCCUCCUAGAGCCUCAAACAGCCAGUCCAUAGGGACCCCCUCUCCCUCAUCCAGUCAUUCCAGGAACCACAGAGGAGGCUCUCGUCCUGGUGGUUCUUCUCGAGCCUCAAACGGCCAGUCCAUAAGGACCCCCUCUCCCUCAUCCAGUCAUUCUGGGAACCACAGAGGAGGCUCCCAUUCUGGUGGUCCUCCUAGAGCCUCAAACAGCCAGUCCAUAGGGACCCCCUCUCCCUCAUCCAGUCAUUCCAGGAACCACAGAGGAGGCUCUCGUCCUGGUGGUUCUUCUCGAGCCUCAAACGGCCAGUCCAUAAGGACCCCCUCUCCCUCAUCCAGUCAUUCUGGGAACCACAGAGGAGGCUCCCAUUCUGGUGGUCCUCCUAGAGCCUCAAACAGCCAGUCCAUAAGGACCCCCUCUCCCUCAUCCAGUCAUUCCGGGAACCACAGAGGAGGCUCUCGUCCUGGUGGUUCUUCUCGAGCCUCAAACGGCCAGUCCAUAAGGACCCCCUCUCUCUCAUCCAGUCAUUCCAGGAACCACAGAGGAGGCUCCCAUUCUGGUGGUUCUUCCCGAAGUUCAAACAGCCAGUCCAUGAGGAGCCCCUCUCCCUCACCCAGGAACCACAGAGGCUCCCGUCCUGGUGGUUCUCCUUUAGCUUCAAACAGCAUCAGGGCCCGCUCCCCCAGAGAGAGGAACAGUGUAUUCCCCAUGGAAAAUUACAAAUUCCAGAGAUGUGUGAAGAAAAAAUUGGUGGAGAUCAUGGAGGUGGUGAAAAGAAUUGAGGCGGACCACCAAAGGGGAGGGACAUACCUAUUAAAAACCAUGUCGACCAUGGACGAGGUCCUCAUGUUAGAAGACAAGCUCAAUCAGGAGGAGAGACAGGCUCUGAUGGCACAGUUAAGCAAGGUCGGGGGGAAGGACAUAAAAGACUGUGUUGCAAAAAUUUUGAACAGAUUGAUGACGAAUGGCCUGAUGUCCCAUUUCAAUAUGAUGGGCCAUGGUGGGAAGACAGCUUUUAAAGCAAUGACUCUCUAUGGCGUCCUAACAGCUGCUGUUAAAAAAUGGAGUGAAAGGGCCACCGACCAUGACAUCGGGAGAGCUGUGGCAGAUCAAUUAAAACAUGCGCCUGGACGCUCCGGUGGUGGAGGCAAGAACAAUUAAUAAAGGGAUAAAGAAAGCAAUCAGUUAUUAAAAUGUUUUGUUUGACUUAUAGGCCUGUAAUGAUAUCAAUAUUUCAGAAUACGAUUAUCGCGACAAAAUAUAUCACAAUAACAUUAUUAUUGUGAUAUCAAUAGUAAUCAUUAUAAGAAAGCAAACACUUAAAGUAUAUUACAUUUCUUAUUAAAUGUCACUCUAUUCAAAAACAUAAAAUUUGACAGUACAACUCUC